GAUGAACGCUGGCGGCGUGCCUAAUACAUGCAAGUCGAGCGAACAGACGAGGAGCUUGCUCCUCUGACGUUAGCGGCGGACGGGUGAGUAACACGUGGAUAACCUACCUAUAAGACUGGGAUAACUUCGGGAAACCGGAGCUAAUACCGGAUAAUAUAUUGAACCGCAGGGUUCAAUAGUGAAAGACGGUGUUGCUGUCACUUAUAGAUGGAUCCGCGCCGCAUUAGCUAGUUGGUAAGGUAACGGCUUACCAAGGCAACGAUGCGUAGCCGACCUGAGAGCGUGAUCGGCCACACUGGAACUGAGACACGGUCCAGACUCCUACGGGAGGCAGCAGUAGGGACUCUUCCGCAAUGGGCGAAAGCCUGACGGAGCAACGCCGCGUGAGCGAUGAAGGUCUUCGGCUCGUAAAACUCUGUUAUUAGGGAAGAACAAAUGUGUAAGCAACUAUGCACGUAUUGACGGUACCUAAUUAGAAAGCCCCGGCUAACUACGUG
rnacentral:rRNA from 1 species